rnacentral:rRNA from 1 species
AAGCUCGUAGUUGAAUUUCGGGAUCAAUUUAUUGGUCGUGCUAUUGUACGUACUGGUAUUAUUGAUUUCUACCUUCUGACGAACCAUGAUGUCAUUAAUUUGGUGUCUUGGGGAAUCAGGACUGUUACUUUGAAAAAAUUAGAGUGUUUAAAGCAGGCUCACGCUUGAAUACAUUAGCAUGGAAUAACGAAAUAGGACGUUUGAUUCUAUUUUGUUGGUUUCUAGGAUCGACGUAAUGAUUAAUAGGGAUAGUUGGGGGCAUUAGUAUUCAAUUGUCAGAGGUGAAAUUCUUGGAUUUAUUGAAGACUAACUACUGCGAAAGCAUUUGCCAAGGAUGUUUUCAUUAAUCAAGAACGAAAGUUAGGGGAUCGAAGACGAUCAGAUACCGUCGUAGUCUUAACCAUAAACUAUGCCGACUAGGGAUCGGAUGAUGUUAAUUUUUUAAUGACUCAUUCGGCA